UACGUAGGGUGCGAGCGUUGUCCGGAAUUACUGGGCGUAAAGAGCUCGUAGGUGGUUUGUCGCGUUGUCCGUGAAAACUCACAGCUUAACUGUGGGCGUGCGGGCGAUACGGGCAGACUGGAGUACUGCAGGGGAGACUGGAAUUCCUGGUGUAGCGGUGGAAUGCGCAGAUAUCAGGAGGAACACCGGUGGCGAAGGCGGGUCUCUGGGCCGAUACUGACGCUGAGGAGCGAAGGCGUGGGGAGCGAACAGG
rnacentral:rRNA from 1 species